ensembl:lncRNA
CUGCUGUCGCUCAAAAACACAAUGUCCAAUCUCUCCCAAAGGUCGCAGGCGUGAUAAGACUCGAGCUCGGAAAUGUUUGUUAUGCCAUUUGUCAGUAAUGGUUAGAGCGCCACCUAGUGGGACGACUAUAAUAAUGGUUGAAUGAGAUGAAAUUUUAGCUGGUGGUUAAAUGCAUGAAUUCCAUCAAUGUGACAUCAGAUCAGAAGCGCUGGUUUUAGGUGUUGGGCUUGGCUCGACGCGCCGGGGGUGCGAGGGCCCUCAUAUCGCUGCUUGCAGCUUUAAUUGUUGUUUAAUGGUUAGAGCGCCACCUAGUGGGACGACUAUAAUAAUGGUUGAAUGAGAUGAAAUGUUAGCUGGUGGUUAAAUGCAUGAAUUCCAUCAAUGUGACAUCAGAUCGGAAGCGCUGGUUUUAGGUGUUGGGCUUGGCUCGACGCGCCGGGGGUGCGAGGGCCCUCAUAUCGCUGCUUGCAGCUUUAAUU